AUAGCUCAGUCGGUAGAGCACUUGGCUUGCAAAACAAGGGGCCGGGGUUCGAAUACCCGUCCGUCCA
rnacentral:tRNA from 1 species